CAGGGCUCCCGCCACCCCGGGCCCCGCCCCGCCGACUAGGUCCCGCCCGCUUUUCCCGGGCCCCGCCCCGGCCCGUCGCCAUGUUGUUCCCUCCGUGCAGGACGGGGGCAACCGCAGACUGACCCGCGCCGUGCCGCCGACGUCUCCUGCCUGCUGGCUCCUCGACCCUCUUCACUUUUUUUCCCUGCCCCCGGACGGACCGGCCCGAAGCUCCCGAACUUAUUCCGUGUGGCCGUGAGAAGCUGUCUGCGCUCAGGCCAUGAGCCUGGCACAGUGGUGAGCUGCUUUCCCUGGUGUCUGUGUCUCAGUGACUCUUUCCUCAGCCCUCCGAUAAUGAUGAUGCUUGAACUGAACAAUUAAGGGUUCCACAGU
rnacentral:lncRNA from 1 species